rnacentral:rRNA from 1 species
AACGAACGCUGGCGGCAGGCUUAACACAUGCAAGUCGAGCGCGUAGCAAUACGAGCGGCAGACGGGUGAGUAACGCGUGGGAAUCUACCCAACCCUACGGAAUAACGCAUGGAAACGUGUGCUAAUACCGUAUACGCCCUUUGGGGGAAAGAUUUAUCGGGGAUGGAUGAGCCCGCGUUGGAUUAGCUAGUUGGUGGGGUAAAGGCCUACCAAGGCGACGAUCCAUAGCUGGUCUGAGAGGAUGAUCAGCCACAUUGGGACUGAGACACGGCCCAAACUCCUACGGGAGGCAGCAGUGGGGAAUAUUGGACAAUGGGCGCAAGCCUGAUCCAGCCAUGCCGCGUGAGUGAUGAAGGCCCUAGGGUUGUAAAGCUCUUUCACCGGUGAAGAUAAAUGACGGUAACCGGAGAAGAAGCCCCGGCUAACUUCGUGCCAGCAGCCGCGGUAAAGUGACUACUG